GACGAACGCUGGCGGCGUGCCUAAUACAUGCAAGUCGAGCGAAGCGGCGGAUGGGUGAGUAACGCGUGGGUAACCUGCCCUUAAGUCUUGGAUACCAUUUGGAAACAGAUGCUAAUACCGGAUACUAAAGGAUGGACCUGCGAUGCAUUAGCUAGUUGGUAGGGUAACGGCUUACCAGGGCGAUGAUGCAUGGCCGAGUGUAGGAAAUGAGCGGCCACAUUGGUACUGAGAAACGGCCCAAACUCCUAAGGGAGGCAGCAGUAGGGAAUCUGCCACAAUGGACGAAAGUCUGAUGGAGCAACGCCGCGUGAGUGAAGAAGGUUUUCGGAUCGUAAAGCUCGGUUGUUGGUGAAGCGGUAAUCAACCAGAAAGUCACGGCUAACUACGUGCCAGCAGCCGCGGUAAUUC
rnacentral:rRNA from 1 species